rnacentral:sRNA from 1 species
UGAUCAAGGAGAAGUUGUGAGAGAAUUCAUGAAGGAUACAGAUUCCAUAAAUUUGUAUAAGAAUAUGAGGGAAACAUUGGGUAAGUUAAUAAAUACUGUUAAUCUUUACCUUUAUAAAUCUAUUCUGGGGUGGAAAUACAUUUUAGGAAAUGUACUUGUAGUUUCUAAAUAUUUUCUAAAUGUAUUGUUACUCAUCAAUAAAAUUCUGCUCAUUAUUUGCAUUUGAAACCAUGUUUUUCUUUGUAGUUUAUCUUACUCAUCUGGAUUAUGUAGAUACAGAAAGAAUAAUGACAGAGAAGCUUCACAAUCAAGUGAAUGGUACAGAGUGGUCAUGGAAAAAUUUGAAUACAUUGUGUUGGGCAAUAGGCUCCAUUAGUGGAGCAAUGCAUGAAGAGGACGAAAAACGAUUUCUUGUUACUGUUAUAAAGGAUCUAUUAGGAUUAUGUGAACAGAAAAGAGGCAAAGAUAAUAAAGCUAUUAUUGCAUCAAAUAUCAUGUACAUAGUAGGUCAAUAUCCACGUUUUUUGAGAGCUCACUGGAAAUUUCUGAAGACUGUAGUUAACAAGCU